AAGCUCAGACAGCAGCACAUAUACUAAAAUUGGAACGAUAGAGAGAUUAUUUGCAUGGCACCUGGGGAAGGACAACACACAAAUUAAUGAAGCGCUCCAUAUAUAU
ensembl:snRNA U6 U6 spliceosomal RNA